rnacentral:rRNA from 1 species
GAAACAUCUUCGGGUUGUGAGGUUAAGCGACUAAGCGUACACGGUGGAUGCCCUGGCAGUCAGAGGCGAUGAAGGACGUGCUAAUCUGCGAUAAGCGUCGGUGAGGUGAUAUGAACCGUUAUAACCGGCGAUUUCCGAAUGGGGAAACCCAGUGUGUUUCGACACACUAUCAUUAACUGAAUCCAUAGGUUAAUGAGGCGAACCGGGGGAACUGAAACAUCUAAGUACCCCGAGGAAAAGAAAUCAACCGAGAUUCCCCCAGUAGCGGCGAGCGAACGGGGAGGAGCCCAGAGCCUGAAUCAGUGUGUGUGUUAGUGGAAGCGUCUGGAAAGGCGCGCGAUACAGGGUGACAGCCCCGUACACAAAAAUGCACAUAUUGUGAGCUCGAUGAGUAGGGCGGGACACGUGGUAUCCUGUCUGAAUAUGGGGGGACCAUCCUCCAAGGCUAAAUACUCCUGACUGACCGAUAGUGAACCAGUACCGUGAGGGAAAGGCGAAAAGAACCCCGGCGAGGGGAGUGAAAAAGAACCUGAAACCGUGUACGUACAAGCAGUGGGAGCCUCUUAAUGGGGUGACUGCGUACCUUUUGUAUAAUGGGUCAGCGACUUAUAUUCUGUAGCAAGGUUAACCGAAUAGGGGAGCCGAAGGGAAACCGAGUCUUAACUGGGCGUUAAGUUGCAGGGUAUAGACCCGAAACCCGGUGAUCUAGCCAUGGGCAGGUUGAAGGUUGGGUAACACUAACUGGAGGACCGAACCGACUAAUGUUGAAAAAUUAGCGGAUGACUUGUGGCUGGGGGUGAAAGGCCAAUCAAACCGGGAGAUAGCUGGUUCUCCCCGAAAGCUAUUUAGGUAGCGCCUCGUGAAUUCAUCUCCGGGGGUAGAGCACUGUUUCGGCAAGGGGGUCAUCCCGACUUACCAACCCGAUGCAAACUGCGAAUACCGGAGAAUGUUAUCACGGGAGACACACGGCGGGUGCUAACGUCCGUCGUGAAGAGGGAAACAACCCAGACCGCCAGCUAAGGUCCCAAAGUCAUGGUUAAGUGGGAAACGAUGUGGGAAGGCCCAGACAGCCAGGAUGUUGGCUUAGAAGCAGCCAUCAUUUAAAGAAAGCGUAAUAGCUCACUGGUCGAGUCGGCCUGCGCGGAAGAUGUAACGGGGCUAAACCAUGCACCGAAGCUGCGGCAGCGACACUAUGUGUUGUUGGGUAGGGGAGCGUUCUGUAAGCCUGUGAAGGUGGCCUGUGAGGGUUGCUGGAGGUAUCAGAAGUGCGAAUGCUGACAUAAGUAACGAUAAAGCGGGUGAAAAGCCCGCUCGCCGGAAGACCAAGGGUUCCUGUCCAACGUUAAUCGGGGCAGGGUGAGUCGACCCCUAAGGCGAGGCCGAAAGGCGUAGUCGAUGGGAAACAGGUUAAUAUUCCUGUACUUGGUGUUACUGCGAAGGGGGGACGGAGAAGGCUAUGUUGGCCGGGCGACGGUUGUCCCGGUUUAAGCGUGUAGGCUGGUUUUCCAGGCAAAUCCGGAAAAUCAAGGCUGAGGCGUGAUGACGAGGCACUACGGUGCUGAAGCGACAAAUGCCCUGCUUCCAGGAAAAGCCUCUAAGCAUCAGGUAACAUCAAAUCGUACCCCAAACCGACACAGGUGGUCAGGUAGAGAAUACCAAGGCGCUUGAGAGAACUCGGGUGAAGGAACUAGGCAAAAUGGUGCCGUAACUUCGGGAGAAGGCACGCUGAUAUGUAGGUGAAGCGACUUGCUCGUGGAGCUGAAAUCAGUCGAAGAUACCAGCUGGCUGCAACUGUUUAUUAAAAACACAGCACUGUGCAAACACGAAAGUGGACGUAUACGGUGUGACGCCUGCCCGGUGCCGGAAGGUUAAUUGAUGGGGUUAGCGGCAACGCGAAGCUCUUGAUCGAAGCCCCGGUAAACGGCGGCCGUAACUAUAACGGUCCUAAGGUAGCGAAAUUCCUUGUCGGGUAAGUUCCGACCUGCACGAAUGGCGUAAUGAUGGCCAGGCUGUCUCCACCCGAGACUCAGUGAAAUUGAACUCGCUGUGAAGAUGCAGUGUACCCGCGGCAAGACGGAAAGACCCCGUGAACCUUUACUAUAGCUUGACACUGAACAUUGAGCCUUGAUGUGUAGGAUAGGUGGGAGGCUUUGAAGUGUGGACGCCAGUCUGCAUGGAGCCGACCUUGAAAUACCACCCUUUAAUGUUUGAUGUUCUAACGUGGGCCCGUAAUCCGGGUUGCGGACAGUGUCUGGUGGGUAGUUUGACUGGGGCGGUCUCCUCCUAAAGAGUAACGGAGGAGCACGAAGGUUGGCUAAUCCUGGUCGGACAUCAGGAGGUUAGUGCAAUGGCAUAAGCCAGCUUGACUGCGAGCGUGACGGCGCGAGCAGGUGCGAAAGCAGGUCAUAGUGAUCCGGUGGUUCUGAAUGGAAGGGCCAUCGCUCAACGGAUAAAAGGUACUCCGGGGAUAACAGGCUGAUACCGCCCAAGAGUUCAUAUCGACGGCGGUGUUUGGCACCUCGAUGUCGGCUCAUCACAUCCUGGGGCUGAAGUAGGUCCCAAGGGUAUGGCUGUUCGCCAUUUAAAGUGGUACGCGAGCUGGGUUUAGAACGUCGUGAGACAGUUCGGUCCCUAUCUGCCGUGGGCGCUGGAGAACUGAGGGGGGCUGCUCCUAGUACGAGAGGACCGGAGUGGACGCAUCACUGGUGUUCGGGUUGUCAUGCCAAUGGCACUGCCCGGUAGCUAAAUGCGGAAGAGAUAAGUGCUGAAAGCAUCUAAGCACGAAACUUGCCCCGAGAUGAGUUCUCCCUGACCCUUUAAGGGUCCUGAAGGAACGUUGAAGACGACGACGUUGAUAGGCCGGGUGUGUAAGCGCAGCGAUGCGUUGAGCUAACCGGUACUAAUGAACCGUGAGGCUUAACCUU